AAGGAAUGUUUGCAUGAUAACUGGAGGGUCUGGCUAAGUGUAUAGUUUACGUUGUGAUAAUGUAAUAUAAAUUAGAAAACAUGGUCUAGAGAUGAAAAAACAAAAAUGCAGGUCAGUGUGUGUUCGGUAUGAACUGCAGAUUCUCUCACCUGACAGAGGAAGACAUGGAAAGAUUAAAAGAACUAAUUGAAGAGGAAUGAAGAGCCAAAGAGGAACCCAGUGAGGCCAGGGAAUCCACUGAAAGGAGCAUUGAGGACUGGCUGGCCAGGAGAGAGAAGAGGAGCAAGGCCACAGACAGCAGCAGCAUUCUUCAAGUGGAAGGAGCGGAGAGUACAUUUGGAGCCGAGCUUCCAGCACAUCUCAUGGCAUUCCCAGAUCUCCUGGCCUCCUUGCUCCCUCCCCCUCCUGGGGGGUGGAAGAACAUACCCGUCACAGAGUGGGGAUGAACAAACUGCACAGCCCUGAGAUGCUGAGCUGUGAUGAAUGCUCAGCCUGGGUUUCCAUUCUUUCAACUCUCGUACCGUUGGUGUCCACAGGGCAGGAACUAAACAAAUGCAUGGAAGAGUUAGUGCCCACUGCCUUUCUUGCACUGUGCUGGCACAUUGAUUACUACAAAACACUUCAAAUUACAUACAAACUCCUCCAGAAGGCAGCAGCAAAACAAUUAAUGGAAAUGAAUCUGGCCUUUUCCAAAUGUCCAUGCAGUCCGUUUUCUGAGGUGCUGAUUCAGGGGAGUUGUGUAGAGCGCACAGGUUCAUCAAGUGUCGAUUUACAGCGUAUUCAUUUUUUAUAUUUUGUAUCUUUUUUUCUUUCUUUGAUGGCAUCGCUAAGGUCAUGUGUGCUUGCUCCUAAACUGCUAGUGUGUAGGGAUGAAGAAGCAGCUAAUGUUUUAAAUCAAAAAUAACAUCAAAGCACAAAACCCAUUCUUUGUUUUGUUUUUUUCCCCCUUUCACUCUUGUGUUGUGACGCAGUUGACAGUAGAAAAGAAGAAAGCGCUCCCUGAUGCGCCGCAGUGUUGAUGAAACGGUCCGCACAGCCUUCCCGUCUGCAGGGACCGUUCUGUUUGAGUUGACUGAGUUUCACUGAAACAGAUCCCACCAGCGGUGGAAUAUACUGAGUGGGAUCUCGGACUGGGAUAGAAAAGGAUUGCAGCUGUGUACCUGUCAGACGUGAAAGCAAGUCUCCCAAUUUCCACAGCGUCUCAGUGAAUCUGAAUCGCCCUGCAUCUCCCCUGAAGCACUUCUGUUUCAUUACUGUAGUCACAGGCCCUACCUAGAUUGCCAAUUAUGCUGGGAAUCACGUACCAUUUCCUAAUUCAAUCAAAUCUAUUUACAAAGAUUUUUUUUUCAGACUGUUAGAAAUGAACCCUUUCAAGACUUUAACCCUUUCAUGCAUUGUGACCUCAUAUGGGGACAGAUUAAAAAAAAAAAAAAAAAAAAACUUCUAGUCUUUAUAUGAGGACAGGGAAGAUGCAUAUGACCUCAUAGCAUGCAAUGUGUGCCCAAUGUAAAGCAAUGAAAAAAAAAACUGAUUUAAAAAAUUUAUAUAUUUAUUAUGUGUCCAAAGAAUGACUAAACCUGAUGUUUCAGCCUCAGGUGAUAUUUAUUAGUUUAAAAGUACAGUCUCAAAUAUAAUAUAUAUGUAUCCUCAGGUGUCCAGCCUGCCUGGCAGUCGUGAUUUAGGAUUGCUGUCUAGACUGCAUGAAUGUUGGCUAGGGAUUUAAGUGACCAUGUCUUCAGCAUGAUGCAGCCAAGAGUAUCCAAGACAGCCUUGCCUCAAUGCCUGUCUAUCAAAGCAAGCAUGCCUUGCUCUAUAUUCACAGUGAUGGGGUUUACAUGCUGCCUUAGCUGAAACACUAGUAGCUUCAUGUAAUGUACUGCAUAGAAAGGAUUCAAACACUAGCAGCUUCAUGUAAUGUACUGCAUAGAAAGGAUUCAAACACUAGCAGCUUCAUGUAAUGUACUGCAUAGAAAGGAUUCAAACACUAGCAGCUUCAUGUAAUGUACUGCAUAGAAAGGAUUCAAACACUAGCAGCUUCAUGUAAUGUACUGCAUAGAAAGGAUUCAAACACUAGCAGCUUCAUGUUAUGUACUGUAUAGAAAGCAUUCAAACAUUAGCAGCUUCAUGUAAUGUACUGCUCAGAAAGGAUUCAAACGCUAGCAGUGUGAUGUAAUGUAUUGCAUAGAAAGGAUUCAAACUCUAGCAGCUUGAUGUAAUGUAUUGCAUAGAAAGGAUUCCGAGUUUUGGCAGCACUGUUUUAUAGCAUAUUUUUCAGCUGCAACAUUAUAGCAUCUAAUCAUACCAAAGUAUCCUAAAAGCAUUCAAUUGAUAGAUAGAAAACACCCAAAGCUAUCCAAAAGAAGAAAGGGAGACUAGGUCUUUGUUUUGGGCAUAUCCUGAAGUGAAUUCUAUAAAGGACUAAAGGAGCAGUUUAGCAAAGAGAUAAACAGGGUGUGUGUUACAGCUUGGGCUCCAGGAGUAUCCACGCUCCAAUAACCUGUCUGAUUCGUGCUCCUCACUGCCAAAGCCUGGUCUGUGAUCUCUGGUAAUGACCUCUGUGUUGGGCAUUAUCACUGGAUUCUAGAUCAAAGCAUCUAACAGGAACAGUGAGUCAGUGGUGCUGCUACUUUCCAUCUGCAAUUAGUUUUGAGUUGAAAGUUCCUCCAGUUGCUGAGUUGCACACCCUUGUCUUUGAAGGUGCUAAUUGAAAAUCUUGGUCUGAAUAUCUCAUUAAAGUUGCACUUCUUUUGGAUGAUAAAAUAUUACUGUCCUACGGUCCGCCAAGCUCUGUAAGACUGCUGUUUGAGAGGAUCAUUCCCACAAUGAGAAUGAAUAUCCCUGUACAGAUGCAUCGAUGCUCACAAUAGAUUAAGAACUGUCUUUCUUGAAACUUGUCUUACUUUUAAGGCUGACUGUAGUCCUUAAUCAAACAUAGUGCUGUAUUAUCUGUUAAUUACUGUUUUCUAUCAUUUGUUACAAAUUUCCCACACACACAUACACACAUGAAAAUAAAUAUGCUCAAACAAUGCACACAGACACACACUCUUGUGUUGGGCUUUAAUAAGUUGUGCAUCCCUCCUAGUCACACAGUGACAUGCUCAAACCAUUACCAUACUGCCUCCUGUUCAUUUCCAUAGUCACUGAGUUAUUACACAGGUAGCAUUUGCCCAAUAGCUUCCAUUUUCAUCCAUAUACUGUUGGAAGACAGAGUGGCUAAAUUACUCUCUGCUAUGCUAUAGCAAAGGGUGAGGGGAAUACACUAGUGCCAUCUAUAAAUACCAUCCAGAGUGGCUGCUCGCAUUGCCUCUAAUGUGCUAUAGAAAUGACCAUGGGAUUAUACCAAUUUGUAGCGACAUAGAAAACUUUUCCCAAUGUGUUUUUCUUCUUUGACACACAUUAAAACAGACUUCAAGAGUC